GGCCAUUUGUGAUUGUCAUGCAGAGAAGCAGCUCUGCUGAAAUUAGGGAACUGAUUGUUCGCUGUAUUUCACAGAUGGUCCUUAGUCGCGUUAAUAAUGUGAAAUCUGGAUGGAAAAGUGUUUUUAUGGUUUUUACAGCUGCUGCCGCUGAUGAGCGUAAGAAUAUUGUCUUGUUGGCAUUUGAAACCAUGGAAAAAAUAGUGCGGGAAUAUUUUCCUUACAUAACUGAGACAGAGACAACAACUUUCACAGAUUGUGUUAGAUGCCUCACAACCUUCACAAAUAGUAGAUUUAAUAGUGAUGUAAGCCUCAAUGCCAUUGCGUUUCUCCGGUUUUGUGCUGUCAAACUUGCAGAUGGAGGACUUGUAUGGAAUGAAAAGAGCAGGGCUGAUGAUGCAUCCACUUCAGUGGGAAAUGAGGUUGCUUCAGAUAUUCAAGCAUUCAGUGACAAAGAUGAUCAUGCAUCCUUUUGGAUUCCAUUGCUCACAGGGCUAUCAAGACUAACAUCUGACCCCAGAUCAGCUAUUCGAAAGAGUGCAUUAGAAGUGCUAUAUAACAUUCUCAAUGAUCAUGGUCAUCUAUUCUCUCAGUCAUUUUGGAUUGAUGUUUUCAACUCUGUUAUUUUACCCAUAUUCAGCAGUGUAUGCGACAAGAAAGAUAAUUUUAUUCAAGAUGGUCAGCAUUCACCAACUGCAGCAUCUCAACAUCAGGAAGGAAAUGCAUGGGAUCCUGAAACUUCUGCAUUGGCGGCUCAGCGUCUAGUAGAAUUAUUUUUUAGCNUUCAAUACAGUUUCGUCUCAACUAUCAAGUGUGGUAUCUGUAUUGACUGGAUUCAUUAGAAGUCCCAUUCAGGGACCUGCUAGCACUGGGGUUGCUGCAUUAUUGGGAUUGGCAGGUCAACUGGGCAGUAGACUUUCUGAGGAUGAAUGGAGAGAGAUCUUUCUAGCUCUAAAGGAAGCUGCUGCAUCAACAUUACCUGGUUUUGUGAAGGUUUUAAGAAGCAUGGAUGAUAUUGAGAUGCCUGAUGCCUCUGAAUCUUAUGCUGAUGUUGAUAUCUCGUCUGAUCAUAGCUUCACCAAUGACGAUCUGGAGGAUGACAAUCUCCAAACUGCAGGUUAUGUGGUUUCAAGAGUAAAAAGUCACAUUGCUGUGCAGUUACUAAUUAUUAAGGUUGUGACUGAUUUAUGCAAAGCACACAUGCAAUUCUUGUCGGCUUCCAAUGUUGGAAUUCUUCUUGAUAUAUUUUCAUCUAUUGCAUCACAUUCCCACCAACUGAACUCUGAGGUGAUUUUGCUGAAGAAACUGAAGAAAGCUUGUUCUGUACUGGAGCUUUCUUAUCCUCCCAUGGUUCAUUUUGAAAAUGAGUCGCACCAAAAUUACCUGAACUUCCUUCAUGAUUUGCUAUUGGAUAAUCCACCCAUGUCUAAGGAGAUGAAUAUAGAAUUGCGGCUUGUGGAAGUAUGUGCAAAAAUAUUGCAGAUAUAUCUGAAUUGUACUGGGUCUCAAUCCGCACGUCAGAAACCGGUUAAUAAGCUCGUGGUACACUGGAUUCUUCCAUUGGGAUCAGCCAAAAAGGAAGAACUGGCAGCAAGAACUACUUUGCUUGUGUCAGCUUUGCGUGUACUGAGUGAUUUAGAAAGGGAUUCCUUUAGGAGGUAUGUGUCACAAUUCUUUCCUUUGUUUGUAGAUCUUGUGCAGAGUGAGCAUAGCUCAGGAGAAGUACAGGACAUUCUAAGCAACAUUUUCCAAUCAUGUAUAGGCCCAGUAAUAAUGGGAUGAAAUCGUUACUGUAGUAGUACACCCAAGGAUAGCUUCAUUAAAUCUCAUUUUUGAUCUCUUUAAUUAGCCGGAGUAUGAGCCUUUAUAUUUUUUACUUAUAUCAUAUAUAUUUUUGUUGUAUCCUAAGGCUGAAAAUUAUCUGC
rnacentral:misc_RNA from 1 species